GAUCCUGGCUCAGGAUGAACGCUAGCGACAGGCUUAACACAUGCAAGUCGAGGGGCAGCGGGGGAGUAGCAAUACUUCGCCGGCGACCGGCGCACGGGUGAGUAACACGUGUGCAACCAACCCCGUACCGGGAGAUAACCCGCGGAAACGUGGACUAACAUCCCAUGACACUCGAGAGCCGCAUGGCUCUAGAUUUAAAAUUCCGGUGGUACGGGACGGGCACGCGCGACAUUAGGUAGUUGGCGGGGUAACGGCCCACCAAG
rnacentral:rRNA from 1 species